AUAUUGGUGGUUCGCAACCAUCCCACCGUAAUAAAAAACUAGGAGAGA
rnacentral:ncRNA from 1 species